rnacentral:lncRNA from 1 species
AUUUUUAAUUAAUUAAUUCUUAAAUUUUAUAAACCAUAUGAUAUAGUAUUACACUUUGAAGUCUCGUUUAGAUAAAUUUUAGUGAUGAAUAAUUAAUGUAUAAUAAUAACAUUAAUUGAAAGAUAAUGAUAUAUGAUGGGAACGACAAAAUUUUUUUAUGUUUAGAUGAUUAUAUAUUAAUGUUGUAACACCCGGAUCUGAAAAUUGACCCGAUAUGAUGUUUACGGAUU